GGGGCUGUAGCUCAGUGGUAGAGUGCUUGCUUCACAUACAUGAGGCACUGGGUUUGAUCCUCAGCACCA
rnacentral:tRNA from 1 species